CACUGGUUUUGAUAAAUCUCAUAUUUCCAGUUAUAAAGUGGCUGUGUGCUUCUAGAUGACUAUGGAACAGGAAAUCUACUAUGCAUUGCCAAAUACCUCCCCCUAUAAAUUUCUAGAUUCACUGAAUCAGUCAAAGGGGACUACAAAGCCUUAUAACAUUGGGCCGAUCAUUCUGAUGUAAACAGAUAAGUACCUACAGUGGCAUUUUCUAUCACUGAAUCAGUCAAGUGGAAACUGGGUCCUAAUGAAAAGACCAAAGAACCAUUAUAACAGUUCUCCAAGAAAACCUCAUUAGAAUGACAUGAAAUCUCAUUCAAUUAUCAUCAAGAGAAUCGAGUUCAUUCUUCUCAUCUGCAGCAAGCUAGAGGAAGUUCUCAUCUAGAUGUAAAAUGUGUCAAAAGUAAAAAGUAGGAAUAUCACAUACAAAAAAAUAAUAAUAAUUUUAUAAAUUAGUUAGGACACUGAAUUGCUCAAUGCACAUAUAACAAAACUGAGUUUUACUACAUUCAACCAGAAAUCCAUCUGGCAUUAAAACUGAUUUAUUAUCUUAUUUUUAUUUUAUGUGGACUUUAUUUUAUUUUUUAUUUAGUUUUCUUUACAUGAUAAUAUGGAUAGCAAGUUGUGCUAUC